CCCGCCGCAGGCCGCGGCGAAGCCGAUGCCGCCGAGGGCGAUGUUGACGGCGAGCGGGUUGAUGGCCGGCCGGUCCGGGACCGGCUCGGGGGCC
rnacentral:tRNA from 1 species